GGAAAAAUGAAAUCACCUCAAUAGAGAAUUAAAUGUUUAUUAAGUAGUUUUCUCUGCUGCCUUUGAUUUUGCCCCUCUUGCAGGAUCAGGCUCAUCCCAGGCUCAUCUCUCCAGCAGCAGUGUAUGAACAGCAUAAAUGCUGAAGUUUUUGUAGUCUGUGUCAUGAAAAUUGUCACCUGGAAGAGAAGUGAAGCUUUUUAACCCUCUCAGACUGAAGGGCUUUAGUGAAGAUCUCCUGAAGCAGUCACCCAGGUGGGAUUUUUGCCUACAAGGACCUGGACAUGCUGGCGGCUCCAGAGGCUUGGGACAGACAGAUGUCAAUGUGGCUGCCACCUCUGCUCCACUGGGCUUUCCUAGGACUGCAAGCAGCGCGGCGCAAGAUACAGAUUUUUUCCCUGUCUCUACAAGGCCUUUUUAUUUGGUCUAGAUACACAUCUUCAAUCCUUGUUUUCAGGACCAAAUCUGUAUUUCCUGAGCGCUUGAGGAAAGUCUGUCAGCGUGAUGAAGUAUCAGCAUCACUCAGCAGGGCCUGUUGAGGAGCCAGUGUUUGGGCUUGGCUCAUCACAAUAAUGGUGUAUCCUUUUUAAAUCUAAUUUUGUGAGUAUGAGCUUUGGAGCUGUGCCAAAACUUUGUGGAGACUCUGUUGUAUGCACACACUUUGGGCUAGGACACUUCAGCACUGUUGGGGUAAUGGUUGGACUUGAUGAACUCAGAAGUUACUUCUAAAUUUAAUGAUUUUGUGUUCCCAAAACCCUAAUUCUUAGAGAGAAUGAGCUCUCAGCUGUAA